rnacentral:tRNA from 1 species
AGGGGUGUCAUAUAAUGGUAUUAUCUUGGUCUCCAAAACCAAUGAAGUGAGUUCGAUUCUUACCACCCCUGCCA